GACGAACGCUGGCGGCGUGCCUAAUACAUGCAAGUCGAGCGGACUUUCAAGAAGCUUGCUUUUUGAAAGUUAGCGGCGGACGGGUGAGUAACACGUGGGCAACCUGCCUGUAAGACGGGGAUAACUCCGGGAAACCGGGGCUAAUACCGGAUAAUAUCUUUCUUCGCAUGAAGGAAGGUUGAAAGGCGGCGCAAGCUGCCGCUUGCAGAUGGGCCCGCGGCGCAUUAGCUAGUUGGUGAGGUAACGGCUCACCAAGGCGACGAUGCGUGGCCGACCUGAGAGGGGGAGCGGCCACACUGGGACUGAGACAAGGCCCAGACUCCUACGGGAGGCAGCAGUAGGGAAUCUUCCGCAAUGGACGAAAGUCUGACGGAGCAACGCCGCGUGAGCGAAGAAGGUCUUCGGAUCGUAAAGCUCUGUUGUCAGGGAAGAACAAGUACCGUUCGAAUAGGGCGGUACCUUGACGGUACCUGACCAGAAAGCCACGGCUAACUACGUGCCAGCCGCCGCAGUAA
rnacentral:rRNA from 1 species